rnacentral:rRNA from 1 species
GAUGAACGCUGGCGGCGUGCCUAAUACAUGCAAGUCGAGCGAACAGACGAGGAGCUUGCUCCUCUGACGUUAGCGGCGGACGGGUGAGUAACACGUGGAUAACCUACCUAUAAGACUGGGAUAACUUCGGGAAACCGGAGCUAAUACCGGAUAAUAUAUUGAACCGCAUGGUUCAAUAGUGAAAGACGGUUUUGCUGUCACUUAUAGAUGGAUCCGCGCCGCAUUAGCUAGUUGGUAAGGUAACGGCUUACCAAGGCAACGAUGCGUAGCCGACCUGAGAGGGUGAUAGGCCACACUGGAACUGAGACACGGUCCAGACUCCUACGGGAGGCAGCAGUAGGGAAUCUUCCGCAAUGGGCGAAAGCAUGACGGAGCAACGCCGCGUGAGUGAUGAAGGUCUUCGGAUCGUAAAACUCUGUUAUUAGGGAAGAACAAAUGUGUAAGUAAAUAUGCACGUCUUGACGGUACCUAAUCAGAAAGCCACGGCUAACUACGUG